GGAGACUCCCAGGCUCUUGGUAGGCGGUGUCUGACGGUGCCAAUUGGGGGUGUGAUGUACAGUGGAAAUAAUAGUCACAGUAAUGACAACGGAACUAUUAAGAAAUAAUAGUUGUAGUAGUUAAUGCAUAGCGGGGCACUGCAAGCCAAGAAAUCUAGACACACCCUAACGGCAGCAAAUGUAAUUUGCACCCAGGGUCGGUCUAGCAACUCUCCGUUGGCUUGCGAGCUGGAAAAACCGAACUCUAGUCAGGCCAAUCACAUCGUGUAUAGAGUCAGUGGGCGGGCUUAAUAUAAUGGCAGAAUUGCGACAGUUCAGUGUAAAUUCCCUGCUAAUUGAAAACAAAGAAGAUGGCUGCUGCGUGCUGGCAAACAGCAGCUUUUCCAAUCAGCUUUGCCCGUGACUCUAGAAGACUUGGAGUCAUGUUUUUCUUUGAGAAAAG